AAGCAUGCCUAUGCGAGUUACUUGUGACAGAGAAGAUAGAGUCAGUCAGUGCCAAGCUUCAGGACUUGCCGGACUUUCUAAUGUCACGUAACACGUAUGUGGACCAGAUGCUGAAUGGUUGCCACCGGAAAAUGCUUACUGGUUGAAUUUGUCGUUUGUGCAAGCUACUGCUUACGCUGAAGUAGAGCAGAGUGGUUAGACUUGCCGAGGAUUGACAAUCGGGGGAACGACGAGGCAGAGUGAGACUGCGAGUCUGGUGGAAACCAUACAUAUCUUGUUCUGUAAUUAAGAUCAUCUCUAUUCAGUUUGUGCAGAAAGUCAAUUCUCUCCCACCUGUAAAGGUUUAUUGUGAUUAUUCUGUGAUCUCUAGUGGGUGUGCACUUGUGUGGAAACACUCAUAUUUUCAAGUUGGAAAUCCAACUGAUGACAUGCGUACUUUCAGUUCAGUCGAUCGUCCAUGUACUGAUCUGUCUGAUGGUUGGUGUAAUGUGGGUAACAAGGAUAAUGUUGCUGGUAAUGUUCAAUUGACAGUUGCUUAUCAUGAAGGAGAAGUUGUGUAUGCAUAUGGUGGUGAUCGUAAUUCUGAACUGGGAAAGUCAUGGCGUGGAGCAAUACUCAACAAUCCAGUCAAAAUUACAGAUCAUUGCAAUCGAGGAAAUGGUAUUCCUCCAGAGCCAGAUAUUCAUCCAUCUGGAAUACCGGGAUUGUCAUUUGACAAAUUGAGUCCUGGUGUAUACACUGGUGACUGUUAUACAGAUCGCUACAAGAGAAAGAGAGACUGUUGUUGGAAGAAUUGUCAGUUACCUUCAUCUAUCUCAUCCAAAACAAAUCAUGUACAAAUGACAGUUGCUAUAUUUCUUUGUUGACUUUGCCCACAGCACUUUAUGGGCUAUAGUUGCAUGUUGAUCUUGUUUGCAUUGUAUGAAAUGUAACAUCUAGUAUUGUGAACCUUGAG